GCCGCAGCUUGUAGACAGCUUAGAUGGGACAACGACCAGGGACAGUGAAGAGACCAUGGAGAGGCAGCUGAGUCCUCAGUUUGAGGAAGACAGGAUAAGAGCCUGCUCCCGCUGGGAGAGCUGCUAGCGGCCAGUGAGAUGGAGAGGCCCGAGGAGGUCGCUGAUCAAUGGAACUCGGGAGGCUGAUGCAGGAGGAUCGAAAGUUCAAGCUCAACCCAAACUGAAGAGAUCCAGGGGAAAGGAGAGAAAAACAUCACACAGCCUUGAGGCACAGAGAAGGCAUUGUGUCAAGAGAUGAGUCUGAACUGGCACAGAACUCUGGUGACCUCGGAAGUGCUACCUUUGUCUUCCUGGAGCAAUUCUCUAAGGCCAACAGUAGUCUUCUCUUGGCUCAAAGAACACCCCUCCCCCAUCCCAUAGGAUAGCAUUAAGCUUAAAGAAGGAGGCUAGAUGGGGGGUGUAGGGGGCUACAGGAAGGAAGUGUAAAAGGGUGGAAGCAGAGUUCAGAGAUUAAAGGGGAGGGUGCUGGGCGGGGUUCCAUGGCGUUUGCCCACGUUCCUUUCACAUCCCAGCAGCCCUGAACUGAAACACAAUAUCCAUCAAAGAUCGGGUGGUCUUGUCAAAGCUCCACUCUCAGGUCACAAGUAAGCAAAAUAAUUAUAGUAAGGUGUUGUUCUGUCUCAGAUAACUGUCCCUACACCAUGUUAUCUCCUCACAUAGGCCCAGGCUGUCCUCAUCAUAGCACAGACUCUCCAUCAGAUUUGUAGAAGUCCAAGGCUCUGAUACAGCCAGUCACCUCAGGACAGUCCCUUACAGAGCAAUGUGGUGUCCUAACACAGCCCAGGGCUGUUUCCUGCCCCAUCCCAAACACAUUCCCCUCUACAGCCUGGGUUGUCCUUGGCCAGUUGAAGGGCUGCUUCUUUCGGACUCAAAGAGUAUCCCAAUGCCAGUCUAGGCUAGUCCCUGCAAGAUAGUCCUUGCAAACCCAAGCCAGCAGGUUCCUCUAUACUCCAAAACUUCACUGUGUGGACACUCACCACUAGAUACUCAGGUCUGAGCAGGCUCAUGUUCAGAGUGUCUCCAUGACGGUAAAACUGUCUUCAGAACCCAGUUCUGUCCCAUUAGAAUUAGAGAAUGCUCCAGUAUGGCCAAGCUGUACCCAUCCAAGGCCACCACACUGUCAGAGCCUAGAUUCUUGUCCUUGUCAUAUCCCAAGACCAUCUGCAUAGGACAUUUCUGUCUGUCACUAAGAACUGGGAGACUUAAAGGUUUAUUCAGGAAUUCACCAGCCUGGUGUGAGAACUUCCCAGCAGGUGCGAGCUAACAGCAAACGCUUUUUCCCAAGGUUAUGGCCAGCUGUGUCCACACUUAUUUAUCAUGUUCUCUUAAGAUCACAGACCCUCAAGCUCGGCAGUGGUGGCCCAGGACUUUAAUUCUAGGACUCAGAAGGCAGAGGCAGGCAGAGUUCCAGGCCAACCUGGUGGUCUCCAGAGCAACAGGACAGCCGGGAGUAUGCAGUGAAACCCAACCUCGAAAAGACGAACAAACAAACAAAAAAAAAUUAUCAUAGAUUCUCCAGAACUCUGCCGCUUGACACCAUCGGUAAGCACUGGCUGAAGUCCUCUUGUCUGGAGAAUCUUUUAUCAUUUUGACAGACAGAAGCUUGGCUGGGAUUACAAAACUAGGUACAGAGAGCCUCAGACACUCCACACGUCGACAUGUGCUUUUUGUUCCAAGAAAUAAGAUCUCGGGUUCAAUUCCCACCCAAGACCCUGCGCCAAGCCAUACACUAAGUCCUGAGAGGUCCUGGGCCCCUUGUCUAAAGGAACCCGAGAGCAACUGGUCCUGAAAACACGCAGGCUGCUCGCCCCAGCCACAACUUCCCCACAUCCACCCCACCCUGUACUUCUCCCGUUACAGUCCUCCUCCAUGGCUCCCCACUUCCAAGCUCCCGGUUCAGGCACCUCUCCCACCCCACUCCUGUCUACCCAUUCUGCCGCCCGCCCGUUAGAGCCCCGCGUCCUCCGUCCCAAGGAGGUCCAUCCGCCUCCGUCCCUCUGGGUCCCGGGCAGCGGAACCCGAGGCACAGAGGAAGGACGCCAAGCCGGAAAGGCUGCGCGCCAGUGGUCCACCCGGAAGUGCGCCCCCCAUCAGGUCCCCCCCAGAGCCCCCAGCGCCGGCCGGCCACGCACCCACCUGUCCGAGUGUGGCUGCAGCCAUGAUCCCGUGCGUGCGGCCGGCGACUGUGCCCG